AAAACUGUGUUUGGUAAAGCCUGGAGCUCAACACUGAGUAAUUCAGAUGGAGUAGCUCUGGCUGGGGGGUGGGUUUGGGUUGGGUGGAGCUCAGCUGAGGGAGUGAUUAGUAAUGAGCAGCACCUGGGGCUGGAGGUAGGCAGUCACCUCCCACAGUUCCCUCUGCCUGGCCCCGAGGGAGGAGGCUGGAUGAUCUUUCUGGAUGGCUGUAAAGCUCUCCUGUAUAUUACUGCAGCACCCACAGUGCUUGGAUGGGGUUCUGCAGAGUCACCAUCAGUUCCUGUGCAUCACUUGCAGCAAUGUGGUCCAUCAAGGGAAAACCAGCGUAGCGUUGCCAGAUCGAGCUCACUUCUCUUUGCCAGCGAAAACACAAAGCAGAGUUACUGCAUUUCUCGUACCUGCAAAACAAUCUGAACAUAGCAUUCUGUCAUCCUUUGAAAUGGCAAAUGGAAGUCAUUUAAACCAGAUGAGUGACUGAGCGGGGAAUUACUGCACCUACAGCACAGGAUAUACAGUACCGUGCACCUAUUUCAAGAGGACUAGAGUGGGUGGCCGGAAGAAAGGAACUUUUUUCCUCAUUUAACCUGUAAUUUGACAACAUCUGCAAAGAAUUAUCCCCAGUACUGGCAUUGUAAUUGUUGUAUCUAACAUCAAUCACCGGGUAGGGGAGGUUGCUUUAAAUAGAUGUUAGCUGUCUUACAGUUUUAAAACAUGAAAGCAGAAAAAAAAAAAAAGUAAAGAAUGAAAUAUGUAAAUUGGUAUAGAAAUUAAUUACUGGAAACGUUGACACUAAUUUAUUGUUUAAGUAAGAAAUGCAACUGGCCAGUGCGGGUGACUGUUUCAGUUUGACCCUGUGUGCUUUGGCAAGUGUUAGGAAACAGAGGCCAUUUUAUUCCAAUUUAUAAAAGUUGUAACCCCUUUUCUCAAGUCUCUAUGAAUGUACAGAACAAGAGCGGGAUUAGACGGCUGACUAAUAUUUUAUACUGGAAGGACAGCAAGUAGGAAAGGUUCCACAAAGUGCAAUUCUUUAAAACAAAGUUCUUCCUUCCCAGCUCUUUUGCUGGGAUUUCUGUCUUUUACUUCAUCAGAAAUAUGAUUACAAGGAACAAAGUAUGCACGUUUUUGGAAAGCAAAAAUUGUAAUUCCAAGCAUGCUCCAGAUUUCCAAUAGCAGCUCAGCAACUACAGGAGUAAAUUCGUAUUCACAAGUUAUCAAAUUUCCAGCGUGCAUCCAAUUUUGUAUUGGGUUUUGAUUCAUAUUUGUGGCUAGAUGUGAAUCAGAUCCAGUAUUUGUUUCUCAGAAAUGUCAUGGAAAAGGAAAUCAUUGGGUGCAGUGGUAUUCACAGCCAAAUACAACGCGCGGUACCACUAUCCAGUGUGAGAGCCAGAUGAAUGACUGUGAUGGUCAUGGGAAUUGUACUUAACCUGGGAAAAUGUUUUAGAAACAGAAAGAAGAAAAGCCUUCUGCUGUAGUGUCUC
rnacentral:lncRNA from 1 species